rnacentral:lncRNA from 1 species
AGGAACAGGGUUGGUGACCCCUGCUCUAAAGUGUUCAAGAACUAUAACUGCUAAUUUCAUAUCGCUCCCUUAAAAUACAGUGUUUUACUACAAUGUCUAAGUGACUCUUCACACUCAUUGGCUGUUGCUUCAGUACAACGAUUACUAUAGCAGUGUUUGGCAGAGUGAAGAUUGAAAAUGAGAACAAAUAUUUCCGUGCUUUACCAGCAAGGAUAACAUAAGAUCUUUGUCCUGCUCAGAGACUGUAUAAAAAUAUGUCCCGAAGAAGAAGCAGAACAUGUCUGAACUGAACUCACAAGAUAUAAAGACCAACGACAACAACACUGACGAGCGUAAACAACAGCUGGAGAUUUGAUGACACCAAUGUUGUUUUUUCUGAUGGACAGGGGUGCCAUUUUCCUCAAGCUUGGAAGGAGAGUUUUGAUUUCUGAAUGUGUCAAAUCUUCCAAAACUUGUGGAUCGCUGUGUCAGGCCAGGACCAUGACUCAUCAAGCCAGGUUGAUGGCUGAGCGUCUGUCAAGCUAGUUUGUUUGGGGUAUGUUUAACAUGCAGUGGUGGAUUUGGGCAUGGACAAUAUGGGCAAUUGCCCAGGGUGGCAU